rnacentral:tRNA from 1 species
GCCGAGGUGGCGGAAUGGUAUACGCUCAAGUCUUAAAAACUUGUGAGAGUAAUCUCAUGCGGGUUCGAUCCCCGCCCUCGGCA